GGCUGGAAGGAAAAUGAGUGAAUCUUUGGUGGUUUGUGAUGUUGCUGAAGAUUUAGUGGAAAAGCUGAGAAAGUUUCGUUUUCACAAAGAAACAAACAAUGCUGCCAUUAUAAUGAAGAUUGACAAGGAUAAACGCUUGGUAGUACUGGACGAGGAGCUUGAGGGCAUUUCACCUGAUGAACUUAAAGAUGAACUACCUGAACGACAACCUUGACCUUCAUUGUGUAUAGUUAUAAAUACCAACAUGAUGAUGGAAGAGUUUCAUAUCCUUUGUGCUUUAUUUUCUCCAGUCCUGUUAGAUGUAACAGAUGAUGUAUUCUGGGAGUAAGAAUAAACUAGUCCAAACAGCUGAACUAACCAAGGUAUUUGAAAUAAGGAAUACUGAAGACCUAACUGAAGAAUGGCUAGAUGAGAAACUUGGAUUUUUCCACUAAUGUGAGCUUCUGUGUUUCUAAAGUAUUUAUGUGUUAACCUGACCAUACUGGAACCAGACAUAAAUACUUAUUUAUGCCUAAAAAUGCACUGCUAUUUACAGUUUGUUUCCUGCAGUAAAGAAAUAUCUUCAUUUGUGCAAAGUUUGAAAAAGAGGAAAUUAUCUUCAUAGUAAUGAAACUUUGUAAAGUGUUUCCUUAUAUUUGUAAUUGUUAGGUGGACUA